rnacentral:tRNA from 1 species
AAGAUUAACAGUUUAGGCUUCUAACCUAAAAGAAAUGAUAAAUCAUUUAAUCUUU